rnacentral:sRNA from 1 species
GACUACACGCUCUCUUUCUGGCGGAACGGGAAAGUCCAGCACUGCCGUAUCCACUCCCGGCAAGAUGCUGGGACCCCCAAGUUCUUCUUGACAGACAACCUCGUCUUUGACUCCCUCUAUGACCUCAUCACGCACUACCAGCAGGUGCCCCUGCGCUGUAAUGAGUUUGAGAUGCGACUUUCAGAGCCUGUCCCACAGACCAACGCCCACGAGAGCAAAGAGUGGUACCACGCGAGCCUGACCAGAGCACAGGCUGAGCACAUGCUAAUGCGUGUCCCUCGUGAUGGGGCCUUCCUGGUGCGGAAGCGGAAUGAGCCCAACUCAUAUGCCAUCUCUUUCCGGGCUGAGGGCAAGAUCAAGCAUUGCCGUGUCCAGCAAGAGGGCCAGACAGUGAUGCUAGGGAACUCGGAGUUCGACAGCCUUGUUGACCUCAUCAGCUACUAUGAGAAACACCCGCUAUACCGCAAGAUGAAGCUGCGCUAUCCCAUCAACGAGGAGGCACUGGAGAAGAUUGGCACAGCUGUGAGGGGGCUGUGGUAGAUG